ensembl:misc_RNA 7SK 7SK RNA
GGAUGUGAGGGCGAUCUGGCUGUUAUAUCUGUCACUCCAUUGAUCGCCAGGGUUGAUUUGGCUGAUCUAGCUGGCUAAGCGGGUGUCCCUUCCUCCCUCACCGUUCCAUGUGCGUCCCUUCUGAAGCUUUGUGCUCAGUGGAAGAGGAUGACCUUCCCCGGUAGAGGAGGACCAUUCUUCAGUCAAGUGUAUAUGAGUAGCUGUGCUCCCCUCCUGGAACCUCCAAACGAGCUCUCAAGGUCCAUUUGUAGGAGAAUGUAGGGUAGUCAAGCUUCCAAGACUCCAGACACAUCCAAAUGAGGCACUGCAUGUGGUAGUCUGCCUUUCUUU